rnacentral:rRNA from 1 species
UACGUAGGGUGCAAGCGUUAAUCGGAAUUACUGGGCGUAAAGGGUGCGUAGGCGGUCGGGUAAGUCUGAUGUGAAAUCUCACAGCUUAACUGUGAAACUGCAUUGGAUACUAUCCGGCUAGAGGAAUGGAGGGGAGACUGGAAUACUUGGUGUAGCAGUGAAAUGCGUAGAUAUCGUAAGGAAGACCAGUGGCGAAGGCGAAUCUCUGGACAGUUACUGACGCUGAGGCACGAAGGCCAGGGGAGCAAACGGG